GAUGAACGUUGGCGGCAUGGAUUAGGCAUGCAAGUCGAGCGAGAACCGUAGCAAUACGGGGACAGCGGCGAAAGGGAGAGUAAUGUGUGGAUAUCUACCUCCAGGCCUGGGACAACUACGGGAAACUGUAGCUAAUACCAGAUAAUGUCUGCGGACCAAAGGUGUGAUUCCUCCGGGAGAUGAGUCCACAUCCUAUUAGCUAGUUGGUAGGGUAAUGGCCUACCAAGGCAAUGACGGGUAGCAGGUGUGAGAGCACGACCUGCCUCAUUGGGACUGAGACACUGCCCAGACACCUACGGGUGGCUGCGGUCGAGAAUCUUCGGCAAUGGGCGCAAGCCUGACCGAGCGAUGCCGCGUGCGGGAUGAAGGCCUUCGGGUUGUAAACCGCUGUCAGAGGGGAUGAAAUACGUCGGGGGUUCUCCCCCGGGUUUGACAUAUCCUCAGAGGAAGGACGGGCUAAGUUCGUGCCAGCCGCCGCCGUAA
rnacentral:rRNA from 1 species